rnacentral:snRNA from 1 species
GUACUUUCAAAGUGCAUAUACCAAGAUAGUAACGAUACAGAGAAGAUAGCAUGGCCCCUGCGCAAGGAUGUCACGCAAAAUCGCGAAGCGUUCCCCAUAUUU